UACGUAGGUGACAAGCGUUUGUCCGGAUUUACUGGGCGUAAAGAGCGCGCAGGCGGUCGUUCAAGUCGAGUGUGAAAGCCCCCGGCUCAACUGGGGAGGGUCAUUCGAUACUGAUCGACUCGAAGGCAGGAGAGGGUAGUGGAAUUCCCAGUGUAGCGGUGAAAUGCGUAGAUAUUGGGAGGAACACCAGUGGCGAAGGCGGCUCACUGGACCGGUACUGACGCUGAGGCGCGAAAGCGUGGGGAGCGAACAGGA
rnacentral:rRNA from 1 species